CUGGCGGCGUGCCUAAUACAUGCAAGUCGAACGCACUCUCGUUUAGAUUGAAGGAGCUUGCUCUGAUUGAUAAACAUUGAGUGAGUGGCGGACGGGUGAGUAACACGUGGGUAACCUGCCCUAAAGUGGGGGAUAACAUUUGGAAACAGAUGCUAAUACCGCAUAAAACCUAACACCGCAUGGUGUAGGGUUGAAAGAUGGUUUCGGCUAUCACUUUAGGAUGGACCCGCGGUGCAUUAGUUAGUUGGUGAGGUAAAGGCUCACCAAGACCGUGAUGCAUAGCCGACCUGAGAGGGUAAUCGGCCACACUGGGACUGAGACACGGCCCAGACUCCUACGGGAGGCAGCAGUAGGGAAUCUUCCACAAUGGACGAAAGUCUGAUGGAGCAACGCCGCGUGAGUGAAGAAGGUUUUCGGAUCGUAAAACUCUGUUGUUGGAGAAGAAUGUAUCUGAUAGUAACUGAUCAGGUAGUGACGGUAUCCAACCAGAAAGCCACGGCUAACUACGUG
rnacentral:rRNA from 1 species